rnacentral:rRNA from 1 species
CAGCAGCCACGGGAAUACGUAGGUGGCAAGCGUUGUCCGGAAUUAUUAGGCGUAAAGGGCUCGCAGGCGGUUUCUUAAGUCUGAUGUGAAAGCCCCCGGCUCAACCGGGGAGGGUCAUUGGAAACUGGGAAACUUGAGUGCAGAAGAGGAGAGUGGAAUUCCACGUGUAGCGGUGAAAUGCGUAGAGAUGUGGAGGAACACCAGUGGCGAAGGCGACUCUCUGGUCUGUAACUGACGCUGAGGAGCGAAAGCGUGGGGAGCGAACAGGAUUAGAUACCCCCGUAGUCCCUGUCUCUUAUUA